GUGGCGAACGGGUGAGUAAUGCAUCGGAACGUACCUUUCAUAGGGGGAUAACGUAGCGAAAGUUACGCUAAUACCGCAUAUUCUGUGAGCAGGAAAGCAGGGGAUCGCAAGACCUUGCGCUGAUGGAGCGGCCGAUGUCAGAUUAGCUAGUUGGUGGGGUAAAGGCUCACCAAGGCGACGAUCUGUAGCGGGUCUUAGAGGAUGAUCCGCCACACUGGAACUGAGACACGGUCCAGACUCCUACGGGAGGCAGCAGUGGGGAAUUUUGGACAAUGGGCGCAAGCCUGAUCCAGCCAUGCCGCGUGAGUGAAGAAGGCCUUCGGGUUGUAAGCUCUUUCGGCCGGGAAAAAAUCGCUUGGGUUAAUACCCUGAGUGGAUGAUGGUACCGGAAUAAGAAGCACCGGCUAACUACGUGCCAGCAGCCGCGGUAAUACGUAGGGUGCGAGCGUUAAUCGGAAUUACCGGGCGUAAAGCGUGCGCAGGCGGUUUUGUAAGACAGGCGCGAAAUCCCCGGGCUCAACCUGGGAACUGCGUUUGUGACUGCAAGGCUAGAGUAUGGCAGAGGGGGGCGGAAUUCCACGUGUAGCAGUGAAAUGCGUAGAGAUGUGGAGGAACACCAAUGGCGAAGGCAGCCCCCUGGGCCAAUACUGACGCUCAUGCACGAAAGCGUGGGGAGCAAACAGGAUUAGAUACCCUGGUAGUCCACGCCCUAAACGAUGUCAACUAGGUGUUGGGUGGGUAAAACCAUUUGGUACCGUAGCUAACGCGUGAAGUUGACCGCCUGGGGAGUACGGCCGCAAGGUUAAAACUCAAAGGAAUUGACGGGGACCCGCACAAGCGGUGGAUGAUGUGGAUUAAUUCGAUGCAACGCGAAGAACCUUACCGGGGUUUGAACUGCACGGGACAGCUGUAGAGAUACAGUCUUCCUUCGGGACCCGUGUAGAGGUGCUGCAUGGCUGUCGUCAGCUCGUGUCGUGAGAUGUUGGGUUAAGUCCCGCAACGAGCGCAACCCUUGCCUCCUGUUGCUAACAGGUAAAGCUGAGCACUCUGGAGGAACUGCCGGCGAUAAGCCGGAGGAAGGUGGGGAUGACGUCAAGUCCUCAUGGCCUUUAUGCCCCGGGCUACACACGUGCUACAAUGGCUGGUACAAAGGGUCGCAAAACCGCAAGGUGGAGCUAAUCCCAAAAAGCCAGUCCCAGUUCGGAUUGCAGUCUGCAACUCGACUGCAUGAAGUUGGAAUCGCUAGUAAUCGCGGAUCAGCACGCCGCGGUGAAUACGUUCCCGGGCCUUGUACACACCGCCCGUCACAUCACGAAAGCCGGCUGUACUAGAAGUCGCUGAGCCAACCCGUAAGGGGGGCAAGCGCCCACGGUAUGGUCGGUGAUUGGGGUGAAG
rnacentral:rRNA from 1 species